GCUAUUUUGGCAGAUAAGUGCAAUAAAUUUAGAAUUUAUUAAUGUAGAUUCUUCUACAGAUAGCA
rnacentral:tRNA from 1 species